rnacentral:rRNA from 1 species
GACGAACGCUGGCGGCGUGCUUAACACAUGCAAGUCGAACGGAAAGGCCCUGCUUUUGUGGGGUGCUCGAGUGGCGAACGGGUGAGUAACACGUGAGUAACCUGCCCUUGACUUUGGGAUAACUUCAGGAAACUGGGGCUAAUACCGGAUAGGAGCUCCUGCUGCAUGGUGGGGGUUGGAAAGUUUCGGCGGUUGGGGAUGGACUCGCGGCUUGUCAGCUUGUUGGUGGGGUAGUGGCUUACCAAGGCUUUGACGGGUAGCCGGCCUGAGAGGGUGACCGGCCACAUUGGGACUGAGAUACGGCCCAGACUCCUACGUGAGGCAGCAGUGGGGAAUAUUGCACAAUGGGUGGAAGCCUGAUGCAGCAACGCCGCGUGCGGGAUGACGGCCUUCGGGUUGUAAACCGCUUUCGCCUGUGACGAAGCGUGAGUGACGGUAAUGGGUAAAGAAGCACCGGCUAACUACGUG